rnacentral:rRNA from 1 species
AGAACGAACGCUGGCGGCAGGCCUAACACAUGCAAGUCGAGCGCUCCGCAAGGAGAGCGGCGCACGGGAGAGUAACGCGUGGGAACCUACCUUUUGGUUCGGAAUAACACCGGGAAACUGGUGCUAAUACCGGAUACGCCCUUCGGGGGAAAGAUUUAUUGCCGAAAGAUGGGCCCGCGUUGGAUUAGCUAGUUGGUGAGGUAAAAGCUCACCAAGGCAACGAUCCAUAGCUGGUCUGAGAGGAUGAUCAGCCUCACUGGGACUGAGACACGGCCCAGACUCCUACGGGAGGCAGCAGUGGGGAAUAUUGGACAAUGGGGGCAACCCUGAUCCAGCCAUGCCGCGUGAAUGAUGAAGGCCUUCGGGUUGUAAAGUUCUUUUGGACGGGGACGAUGAUGACGGUACCCGUAGAAUAGCUCCGGCUAACUUCGUGCCAGCAGCCGC